GGAUCCAUUGCUUAGUUGGUAGAGCACAAGGCUCUUAACCUUGUGGUCAUGGGUCCA
rnacentral:tRNA from 1 species